rnacentral:rRNA from 1 species
UACAGAGGUCUCAAGCGUUGUUCGGAUUCAUUGGGCGUAAAGGGUGCGUAGGCGGCGUGGUAAGUCGGAUGUGAAAUCUCGGAGCUUAACUCCGAAACUGCAUUCGAUACUGCCGUGCUUGAGGACUGGAGAGGAGACUGGAAUUUACGGUGUAGCGGUGAAAUGCGUAGAUAUCGUAAGGAAGACCAGUGGCGAAGGCGGGUCUCUGGGCCUUACCUGACGCUGAGGAGCGAAAGCGUGGGGAGCAAACAGG